UACGUAGGGGGCUAGCGUUGUCCGGAAUCAUUGGGCGUAAAGCGCGCGUAGGCGGUCAGGUAAGUCCGGUGUGAAAGUCAUAGGCUCAACCUAUGGAUGCCGCUGGAAACUGCCUGACUUGAGUCCGGAAGGGGCGAGUGGAAUUCCUGGUGUAGCGGUGAAAUGCGCAGAUAUCAGGAGGAACACCGAUGGCGAAGGCAGGUCUCUGGGCCACUACUGACGCUGAGAAGCGAAAGCAUGGGGAGCGAACAGG
rnacentral:rRNA from 1 species